UACUCGAGUGGCGAACGGGUGAGUAACACGUGGGUGAUCUGCCCUGCACUUUGGGAUAAGCCUGGGAAACUGGGUCUAAUACCGAAUAUGACCACGCGCUUCAUGGUGUGUGGUGGAAAGCUUUUGCGGUGUGGGAUGGGCCCGCGGCCUAUCAGCUUGUUGGUGGGGUAAUGGCCUACCAAGGCGACGACGGGUAGCCGGCCUGAGAGGGUGACCGGCCACACUGGGACUGAGAUACGGCCCAGACUCCUACGGGAGGCAGCAGUGGGGAAUAUUGCACAAUGGGCGCAAGCCUGAUGCAGCGACGCCGCGUGAGGGAUGACGGCCUUCGGGUUGUAAACCUCUUUCAAUAGGGACGAAGCGCAAGUGACGGUACCUAUAGAAGAAGGACCGGCCAACUACGUGCCAGCAGCCGCGGUAAUACGUAGGGUCCGAGCGUUGUCCGGAAUUACUGGGCGUAAAGAGCUCGUAGGUGGUUUGUCGCGUUGUUCGUGAAAACUCACAGCUUAACUGUGGGCGUGCGGGCGAUACGGGCAGACUAGAGUACUGCAGGGGAGACUGGAAUUCCUGGUGUAGCGGUGGAAUGCGCAGAUAUCAGGAGGAACACCGGUGGCGAAGGCGGGUCUCUGGGCAGUAACUGACGCUGAGGAGCGAAAGCGUGGGGAGCGAACAGGAUUAGAUACCCUGGUAGUCCACGCCGUAAACGGUGGGUACUAGGUGUGGGUUUCCUUCCUUGGGAUCCGUGCCGUAGCUAACGCAUUAAGUACCCCGCCUGGGGAGUACGGCCGCAAGGCUAAAACUCAAAGGAAUUGACGGGGGCCCGCACAAGCGGCGGAGCAUGUGGAUUAAUUCGAUGCAACGCGAAGAACCUUACCUGGGUUUGACAUGCACAGGACGACUGCAGAGAUGUGGUUUCCUUGUGCC
rnacentral:rRNA from 1 species